GACGAACGCUGGCGGCGUGCUUAACACAUGCAAGUCGAACGGAAAGGCCCUGCUUUUGUGGGGUGCUCGAGUGGCGAACGGGUGAGUAACACGUGAGUAACCUGCCCUUGACUUUGGGAUAACUUCAGGAAACUUGGGCUAAUACCGGAUAGGAUCUCCUGCUGCAUGGUGGGGGUUGGAAAGUUUCGGCGGUUGGGGAUGGACUCGCGGCUUAUCAGCUUGUUGGUGGGGUAGUGGCUUACCAAGGCUUUGACGGGUAGCCGGCCUGAGAGGGUGACCGGCCACAUUGGGACUGAGAUACGGCCCAGACUCCUACGGGAGGCAGCAGUGGGGAAUAUUGCACAAUGGGAGGAAGCCUGAUGCAGCAACGCCGCGUGCGGGAUGACGGCCUUCGGGUUGUAAACCGCUUUCGCCUGUGACGAAGCGUGAGUGACGGUAAUGGGUAAAGAAGCACCGGCUAACUACGUG
rnacentral:rRNA from 1 species